CCUAACCUUUCAAUUAAAAUCUCUUUUCUCUCUUCUUGCUCGUUGUGAGACUCUUGCUUCGGCUCAAGGUUUCAUAUCCAGAUUAUUGAUGAUCAGGGUGGAUUUAAUCAGCCAUGGGUCCCCAGAUUUUAGAAGGCACUAUCAACUUCUUCUAGGCAGGCUGAGAAAGAUUUGGAGCAAUCAUUGGCAAGUAAAACUGUUUCUUAUGUCAUUGAGGACGAACAUUUUGAAGUUGAAAGUCCAGAGCAAAUAAAGUUGGACUCUUUAAGCUCUCCUUCUCCCUUGUAUCACGGCGUCUUGGCUGUGAUGUUAAGAGAGAUAGACAACUGUUUCUGCUGACAUCUCUUCCAAAAUGGAAGCAUUUUCUUCCAAAUUGCAGGAUUCAUCAAAACCUGCAUUUGAAAUGUUUACUUUCACUAUUUCUCAGCUACAAUUACUUGCCACUAUUUCUAGAGAAUUCAAUGAUCCUUUUACCUCAAGGUUCAGAGAUUUUGCCCACUUCAAGUGAGCCUAUUGAUUCAGCUGCAGCUGUGGCAGGAAAGAUGCUAGAAGAUGGAUGUUGUUGCUCAUCAAUGUCCCAAAGGAAAUACCACAGCUUGUCAUGACUCCACGCUUAAAAAUGUGCCUUCCUAUAUCUUGCAUAUUGCUUGAACCUGUUUCUGAGUUCCGUUCUCAUGGCAAUAACAAGGUUGUUAGAUAAACCCCAUUCCCAGUUGAAAUUCAUAAUUCAAGUGACUCACAUACUUCUGAAUCCUUUGGAAGUGAAUAUCUGGGGCUUUGGCUUUGAAAUGUCCUGAGCCUUUAGGGGCCAGCAUGCUUAUAGAUCAAGAAUUGGGAAGAAUGGCAUUAAACCUCACCAGAUUGGUCAUUCUUUCCUCCUAAAAGUUGUGCUUUGUUGGAACACUGGAUGAGAGGUCAAUGGACAACACUUUGUAUUUCAGGAAAAAAAAAAAAAGAGGUCAAUGGACAAAACUGGCAACAAUUGCAACUUGUCAAUCAUUCAUGAUUUGGUUCAGCCUAUGGAGAAGUCUCUAUUUGAAGCAAAUAAUACUACUGGUGAUUGUCCGGUUUCAGCUUCACAAAAGCUUCAGCGCUUUAUGAUUUAUGUGCAUGAAAAGGGAAUAAUAAUUGAUGAUGUAUAUGUUAUAUUGGGGUCAGCCAAUAUAAACCACCCUCUUUGGCUGGUUCAAGAGACACAGAGAUUGCCAUAGGCGCAUAUCAACCCCAACAUACAUGUGGUCAGAAGAAAAGGCAUCCACAUGGCUUUGUUCAUCAUAUUCAUACUUCCAGUUUAUCUGAUCAUAUACCAUACUGCAAGCAUUAAAGUUGUGAUUUCUACUCUCUAGGAUGUCAAAGAGCGAGAAGCAAAUUUAGCAUACCUUGUUUUUGAUUAAGCAUUUAGCAUAGGCUGGUUUUGAUUGAGCAUUUAGCAUCAGUCCAUGUCUAGGGCCAUUACAAGUAGUGAAAGAAAAAACAUGAUCAACUCAAGUAAUUACUCUUAUCACAAGGCCUAUUGGAGAUCUUUCUUGAAAAGUAGUCUGAUCAGGUGGCUUCUUUGCAUUUACAGGUUUUCGGGUACCGAAUGUCGCCGUGGGUAGAACACACGGGGAUGGUGGAUAAUCUGUUCAAGGAGCCUGGAAGUUUAGCCUGUGUGAGUGUGAACAGGAUUGGUGAGGAUAACUGGGAAAAGUUCACCAACAAUGAUUUUUCAAAAUUGCAGGGGCACCUUCUCAAAUACCCACUUGCGGUAGAUAAAAAUGGCAAAGUAAGUCCUCUGCCUGGAUUUGAAACAUUUCUUGAUGUUGGCGGCAAGGUACUAGGAGCUCGUACAAUUCUUCCUGAUGUUCACACUACUUAGGCUCUAAGUUUCUCCAGUCUGAACAAUUAUUGGAAUUCGAUUUCAUCCAAAUUGUAAAAAGAAGGGCAAAUUGUUGUCUCCUAUUAGAAACAUAUGCCUGGUGACACCUACCAAAAGGACGCAAGGGAACCAGAAAGCACAAUUCGGACAAGCAAAUGGCCAGGUGAGAAUACUCUGAAGAAGGUGGACUAGGUUUGAAGCAGCAUCUACUUAUGAGUUUCACUGUAAUGCCCCUACAUUCCGAAAGACUACCAAGAAAGGAUUCCCUGACAUGCUGGACGAGGGUUCUUGUGAUGGAGAAAGUUCACUGCUUGCUGUUAUAAGAUAACGAACCAUUUCGUGUAUUCUUUGUAUUUCUAGUUGAUCAUACCAACUAAAAUAAACAUGUAAUGGUGCAGCUUUUAGUUCAAGAAAAUACAUUUUUGCAA